ensembl:lncRNA
GUCUUUUUAGGCAUUUCCAUUGGAGAAUGGCUGUAAGAGACCAUAUAGGGCAAGUGGACGCAUGGUGUCUCCUGGAGAAAACGUUACGUAAAAUACUGAGGUAGCCAUUUUUCCAAUAGUUUCUUAUGAGAAACCAACUGCCUCCACGGAUAUAUUAUUGAAUACAUAUGUUAAAAACACUUUGAGGAUGGAUCCUAAACAACGUUUGCCGUGUUUCUGUCAAAAUUAUGGAGCAAAUUUUGAAAAAAGUUUGGCGUUAUAGUUGAAGUAUUUUCGGGUGAUUUCUCAGCCAAGCAGGAUGAACAAACGUGACUUUUUUCGCCUCCAAAAAUAUUAUUUUUGGAAAAAAGGAACAUUUGCUAUCUAACUGGGAGUCUCCUGAGUGAAAGCAUCUGAAGUUCUUCAAAGAAAGGCAUGAAUGGCAUUGUUGCUGGGGUACAGCAGCAUCAAUCAUCACUAUUGGACAACCUCAGGAAGCAGAAGGAGGGAGUGAUAAAGAAGCAUUCAGGAAGCACAUCAGUUUUGCCGCCCUGACUCUGGCUCCUGUUCCACCCUGCUACCGUGUUCUGGACUCACCACACCACCACUCCCUUGGAUUCCCCUCUGGACCUGUUUACCCUGUCCCAAACCAGCACACCCCAACCUCAGCCUCCACAUCUGGGUUUCUUACAACUCAUCCAAGCUUCCCGGAUGUGCACUCCAUAUCUCCCUGUGUUACAAUAAAUAUCUUGGUUCAUUCAUCUCUGUUUUCUCAUCUAAGUGCGCUCUCGUGUUCAGUACGAUCUGGCCAAGAUAUGAACCCAGCAGAGAUGGAUACUCUCCACCAAAUGCUCAUUGGUCAAGGCACCCUGCUCAAUCAACAUGACCAAGCUCUUAAAACCCUUCUGGAGACUAUCAAUUUUUUCAUGAGUUUCACGGAACCUGUCUGUCCUACAGAAUCAAACCUUUGCCCAAAGCUCACAACCUGCCCCAAGUCCCUCCUCUCCGCCCCGGGAGGCAUUUGUUCCUACUCCAGAGCACUACAAUUGAAAUCUCGGAACCUGAGGAGCCUUUUUGGUACAACGUUCACUAGUAUUUGAGCAACAGAAAGCCCAACUCUUAUGCUAGUGAACGAGCCAAGAUUUCCUUUUUGAUUGGUUGCCUCUGUGGAGCAGCACUUUCCUGGGCCACUGCUGUGUGGGAGAGACAGUCACCCAUUUGCUUCUCCUAUAGUAGAUUCAUGGAGGAAAUAAGGAAGGUUUUCGACCACCCAGUUCGCGGAAAGGACGCUGCUAAAUGACUCCUGUCCCUCUGUCAAGGCUCCCAGAGUAUUGCUGAAAUGGCAUGCGAGUUCCGCACCUUCGCCACAGAGAGCGGCUGGGAUGAGGAAGCUCUUCAGGGAGCAUUCCGUAAUUCACUCACUGAGACCCUAAAGGACGAGUUGGUGUCCUGGGAGGAGCCUGAUGAUCUUGAUGAACUAAUUUCUCUCACAAUCCGCAUUGACAACCGUCUCCGGGAGUGGCGGAGAGAGAAGGUAGUUAAGGUUGCAAAAACCUUAACAUCUGCUUCAGUGCCUUGUUAUUCUCCUCCGACUGUAUCCCAACCCCAGGCAUGUUCUGAACCUGAACCCAUGCAGCUCGGUCGGACCCUUCUAUCUCCAGAGGAGAAGCAGCUGCGUGUCAAUACUAAAUAUAUAAAUCAGAUGUCCAUGAUCUUUGCUAAAGUGCUGAAUGGUAAAAUGCCAGAAUUUGGACCGGUCAAAAACAUAUUUAUUGUUGAGUCUAGGCUUUAUUGUUUGGAAUAUCAACCAUUUCAAACUAUACACUUUGAGGUCCCACACCUUGCACAGGCAACUGAGUUAAUGGAUGCUGAAAAGCUGGUUGAUUUUACCUCUUAUUACACAAAUUGUAAAAAGAUCCAAACUUAUGUAAAUACAUUUGUAUAAUACCAUCUUGGGGAUGUAAUAGAAUUGUACAACAGUUCAAAUUACUCUGUGUGUUCCCCAGAUAUGAAAAGUGUACUGUAUUUUUUCUGUACUGUAUGUACUGACAAUAAAACAGUGAAUUCCAUUUGGGCAUUAUCUAUUCAUAAUAUGUGAGGAGAUUAAACAGAUAAGACGCUUGAAAUAAGAAAUUCUGACUUUGACAAAUCUGUUUUAUACUUUACAGUGUGUCACGACCUGACCUUAGAGAGCCGUUUAAUUUCUCUAUUUGGUUAGGUCAGGGUGUGAUUUGGGGUUGGCAUGAUAUGUUGUUUGUUUCUAUGGUUUGGCCGGGUAUGGUCCUCAAUCAGGGACAGCUGUCUAUCGUUGUCUCUGAUUGGGAAUCAUACUUAGGCAGCCUUUUUUUCCUUUUGGUAGUUGGGGGUAGUUGUCUUCGUUUGAGCAUGUAUAGCCUUAUGGAGUUUCUUGUUCGUUUUUUGUAUUAUUGUUUUUUUGGCGACAUUUGAAAAAUAAAGAAAAAUGUACGCUCACCACGCUGCACCUUGGUCCAUUCCAUAUGACGAUCGUGACAGUCAGUGUUGAUCAAACAGCUUUAUAAUUCUGGUAAUUCUAGUUUUAAGCAUUAAGUUACUCAGAACCAAUAAUAAAAUCUCAGUAACAAGUUAUAUUAUCUUAUUAAGAUAAUUAAGGACAAUAAAGCUUGAAAAAAGUGAAAUGCUCUAACAGAAAACUGCCUGGUAAGAAGAAAUAUCUUGUUAGACAAAAAACAAGUAUAUAUUUGAUUUAAUAUCUUGAUUUAAGAUAUUUCAUCUUACUUAGAAUUACAUUUUUGCAUUGCAGCUCUUAAGAAAAACAGUAUUUUGUUUUAUUUAAUUGUUUUGUGUCAUUACAUACAGCCAGGAAGAACUUUUGGAUAUUAGAGCGGAGGUACACACCAGAACUUCCAGCAUUACGACCAGGAUUACGACUUCCCUGGAGAGGAUCCUUUGUUUGCUCUCCCCAGAGCAAUUGAACUUAUUCCAGAGGCUGACCCAGAGGCUGAAUAAUUUUGCAUGCCCAAUUUUUCAGUUUUUGAUUUGUUAAAAAAGUUUGAAAUAUCCA